UUAAGUUAUUAAGGGCGCACGGUGGAUGCCUUGGCACUAGAAGCCGAUGAAGGACGUUACUAACGACGAUAUGCUUUGGGGAGCUGUAAGUAAGCUUUGAUCCAGAGAUUUCCGAAUGGGGAAACCCAGCAUGAGUUAUGUCAUGUUAUCGAUAUGUGAAUACAUAGCAUAUCAGAAGGCACACCCGGAGAACUGAAACAUCUUAGUACCCGGAGGAAGAGAAAGAAAAUUCGAUUCCCUUAGUAGCGGCGAGCGAAAUGGGAAGAGCCCAAACCAACAAGCUUGCUUGUUGGGGUUGUAGGACACUCUAUACGGAGUUACAAAGGACGACAUUAGACGAAUCAUCUGGAAAGAUGAAUCAAAGAAGGUAAUAAUCCUGUAGUCGAAAAUGUUGUCUCUCUUGAGUGGAUCCUGAGUACGACGGAGCACGUGAAAUUCCGUCGGAAUCUGGGAGGACCAUCUCCUAAGGCUAAAUACUCUCUAGUGACCGAUAGUGAACCAGUACCGUGAGGGAAAGGUGAAAAGCACCCCGGAAGGGGAGUGAAAUAGAACCUGAAACCGUGUGCUUACAAGUAGUCAGAGCCCGUUAAUGGGUGAUGGCGUGCCUUUUGUAGAAUGAACCGGCGAGUUACGAUUUGAUGCAAGGUUAAGCAGUAAAUGUGGAGCCGUAGCGAAAGCGAGUCUGAAUAGGGCGUUUAGUAUUUGGUCGUAGACCCGAAACCAGGUGAUCUACCCUUGGUCAGGUUGAAGUUCAGGUAACACUGAAUGGAGGACCGAACCGACUUACGUUGAAAAGUGAGCGGAUGAACUGAGGGUAGCGGAGAAAUUCCAAUCGAACCUGGAGAUAGCUGGUUCUCUCCGAAAUAGCUUUAGGGCUAGCCUCAAGUGAUGAUUAUUGGAGGUAGAGCACUGUUUGGACGAGGGGCCCCCUCUCGGGUUACCGAAUUCAGACAAACUCCGAAUGCCAAUUAAUUUAACUUGGGAGUCAGAACAUGGGUGAUAAGGUCCGUGUUCGAAAGGGAAACAGCCCAGACCACCAGCUAAGGUCCCAAAAUAUAUGUUAAGUGGAAAAGGAUGUGGCGUUGCCCAGACAACUAGGAUGUUGGCUUAGAAGCAGCCAUCAUUUAAAGAGUGCGUAAUAGCUCACUAGUCGAGUGACACUGCGCCGAAAAUGUACCGGGGCUAAACAUAUUACCGAAGCUGUGGAUUGUCCUUUGGACAAUGGUAGGAGAGCGUUCUAAGGGCGUUGAAGCAUGAUCGUAAGGACAUGUGGAGCGCUUAGAAGUGAGAAUGCCGGUGUGAGUAGCGAAAGACGGGUGAGAAUCCCGUCCACCGAUUGACUAAGGUUUCCAGAGGAAGGCUCGUCCGCUCUGGGUUAGUCGGGUCCUAAGCUGAGGCCGACAGGCGUAGGCGAUGGAUAACAGGUUGAUAUUCCUGUACCACCUAUAAUCGUUUUAAUCGAUGGGGGGACGCAGUAGGAUAGGCGAAGCGUGCGAUUGGAUUGCACGUCUAAGCAGUAAGGCUGAGUAUUAGGCAAAUCCGGUACUCGUUAAGGCUGAGCUGUGAUGGGGAGAAGACAUUGUGUCUUCGAGUCGUUGAUUUCACACUGCCGAGAAAAGCCUCUAGAUAGAAAAUAGGUGCCCGUACCGCAAACCGACACAGGUAGUCAAGAUGAGAAUUCUAAGGUGAGCGAGCGAACUCUCGUUAAGGAACUCGGCAAAAUGACCCCGUAACUUCGGGAGAAGGGGUGCUCUUUAGGGUUAACGCCCAGAAGAGCCGCAGUGAAUAGGCCCAAGCGACUGUUUAUCAAAAACACAGGUCUCUGCUAAACCGUAAGGUGAUGUAUAGGGGCUGACGCCUGCCCGGUGCUGGAAGGUUAAGAGGAGUGGUUAGCUUCUGCGAAGCUACGAAUCGAAGCCCCAGUAAACGGCGGCCGUAACUAUAACGGUCCUAAGGUAGCGAAAUUCCUUGUCGGGUAAGUUCCGACCCGCACGAAAGGCGUAACGAUUUGGGCACUGUCUCAACGAGAGACUCGGUGAAAUCAUAGUACCUGUGAAGAUGCAGGUUACCCGCGACAGGACGGAAAGACCCCGUGGAGCUUUACUGUAGCCUGAUAUUGAAAUUCGGCACAGCUUGUACAGGAUAGGUAGGAGCCUUUGAAACGUGAGCGCUAGCUUACGUGGAGGCGCUGGUGGGAUACUACCCUAGCUGUGUUGGCUUUCUAACCCGCACCACUUAUCGUGGUGGGAGACAGUGUCAGGCGGGCAGUUUGACUGGGGCGGUCGCCUCCUAAAAGGUAACGGAGGCGCUCAAAGGUUCCCUCAGAAUGGUUGGAAAUCAUUCAUAGAGUGUAAAGGCAUAAGGGAGCUUGACUGCGAGACCUACAAGUCGAGCAGGGUCGAAAGACGGACUUAGUGAUCCGGUGGUUCCGCAUGGAAGGGCCAUCGCUCAACGGAUAAAAGCUACCCCGGGGAUAACAGGCUUAUCUCCCCCAAGAGUUCACAUCGACGGGGAGGUUUGGCACCUCGAUGUCGGCUCAUCGCAUCCUGGGGCUGUAGUCGGUCCCAAGGGUUGGGCUGUUCGCCCAUUAAAGCGGUACGCGAGCUGGGUUCAGAACGUCGUGAGACAGUUCGGUCCCUAUCCGUCGUGGGCGUAGGAAAUUUGAGAGGAGCUGUCCUUAGUACGAGAGGACCGGGAUGGACAUACCUCUGGUGUACCAGUUGUCGUGCCAACGGCAUAGCUGGGUAGCUAUGUGUGGACGGGAUAAGUGCUGAAAGCAUCUAAGCAUGAAGCCCCCCUCAAGAUGAGAUUUCCCAACUUCGGUUAUAAGAUCCCUCAAAGAUGAUGAGGUUAAUAGGUUCGAGGUGGAAGCAUGGUGACAUGUGGAGCUGACGAAUACUAAUCGAUCGAAGACUUAAUCAA
rnacentral:rRNA from 1 species